ensembl:lncRNA
UUUUUUUUUUUUUUUUUUGCCCUUUUCUUGCCAUAAACAGAGUCACAGGGGUUUAAGGAUUAAUGCCCAUCUGGGCGUAGGUACACUCCCUAUAGUAAACAAGGAUGUUACUCCCUGGAGCCCUUUAGCCACAACUGUUAAUCAAUAGCUAUAUCAAAGAAUGCAUGGAAGCCCAUGCUCCUACACUGACCAGCUGAGUUAUUACUCUGCCUCAAUCCCCCCUUCUAGAGUUGGAGACUCUAACUGCAGGGGAAAGGGGCGACGACCACUCCAACUGCUUCCUGCUGACAAGGGGCAUCAUUAGGGGAAAGCAGUUAGGUCUCUACUCAUGGGGCGGUUGAGUGGGCUUCAGUACAUUACAUUAGGUACCCCUUCUAUCACCAUUUGAAGGUUUAUAGCUUCUAAUAAAGAUGUAAUGAAGCUAAAAAUACAGUUAAUUACACAGGGUGUGAAUAAAAGGAUCAAGGUCACAAUGAUGACUUUGGUGAAGAAAUAUUUCCACCAGGAGGAGAAGGUCAAGCAGUUCCAGAGGGCAGCUCCAAAAGCUGGAGCUGGAUUGGACAUCUUAUCAAUCUGCUGCUGAAGAUCUAGCAGGGAAUCAGACACAUUCUGUGAAUAAUCAGGAAUAUAGACACAACAUUUAGAUUUUAUAAUAGCACAGGUACCUCCUUGAGCUCCACUGAGUACAUCUAAGGCCAUUCGGUUUUGUAGCACUACUUUUCUUAUUUGUUGUUCCAUAUUUAGGGUAGAAAUAGCUUCUGCAGUAUCAUUAAGAGCUUGCUGAGUAAAAUUAGUUAAGGCUUCCACCCGCAGCACUAUGUCAGGGUUUCCCAAUGAAGGCGCAAAUAUCGCUGCUAAGUAAUCUUACCAGUGGAACACUGAUCUGGCCCAUCUAGCAUGUCAAUAGGGAAGGUUGGCUGGUACUCGGCUCAGAGUUUUCAUAAUGUUGCCAUGAGCAAACGCCAAUCCCAGAGUGCAGUGCCCUACCCAUUCUGUGGGCAGCCAAGGCCACAGAUUAGUUCCACAUACCCAUUAAGUUCCAUUCUGGGCUAGCCAGCAUACUCCAGGAUUAGAUCCACAGUCUGUUCCAGACCAUAUGGAAGUCUUAUCUGAAUUGUAUGACCUGGAUGAUUUGGAAACAAUGUUCGUUUGCUAAAUAUCCUAAAGGUUUUAGCUCAUUAGAGGAUAGGGGUUGCCCUCCAAAUCUGACAUAAUGAUUUUGCUCCCAGCAAAUAGAUUCGGGUUGGGUUAAAUAACCCUUUUCAGGAGUGAUCCACAUAUGUUGAUCCUAUAUUUGGUAAAAUUGAUAAGAAUACCUAUAAUCUGUAUGAUUUUUCUGAUUUCUCUGGCUGGUCAUGAAAUAUUUGUAUGCCGUUUCCUUGGUCAGCAUAUAAUUAAAAGUUACCUUAUGUCUUUGUGAGGAGUGUGAUUUAUGGCACCACCUUACUUUUCUAAUUAAUUUACUCAAUUAAAUUUAUUCUGAACUUAGUCCAAAGUGCACAAAAACCAUGCACAAAAUUCUUUUCUCAGUAUCCACUUCUCACAUACCUUGCAUUACUUUCUGUAUCCAUAUUAGUCUUCCCCUUAUUUUUCCUUCUAGGGCAACAAGCUAAAGACAGACUAUCUUUCUUUUCCCUUAAUAAAAUGCAAUUCCAUUCCUCAUGCCUUCUUUACUGAAAGCACACACAUUCUACUUUUCUAAAGCAACCACAGGCUGUCUUUUAUAAUUUCGAAAAACACGUGUUUUUCUUAUAGAGACCAUCUCAGGUAGCACUAAACACAUUGAUUAACAGUCCUCAAUGUCUUUAGUUUCUCUGUUUAGUAACUGAUGUCUCAGUGUCUCAUUUGACCGCUAUUAAACGUAGGUACAAUAAGAUAUUAUACUUAAUGUCAAUAACUGCAAUGACGUGUCUGUUAAUUAGAUCAACAAACUUCAAAUCUAGUAUAAGAUAUUAAUUUAAUACUGAAUAUUUCCCAGUUUACAUGAACCUAAAGUUAAUUCUGGCCAGUUGGUUCCCUUCCAUAUUUUGAGAAUUUAUAUAUGUGAAGCCUUAGACAAGGAAAUGCAGAAAAAGGUAUCUUUUUAAAUUUAAUACAGUAAACCAUGCUGCUGUUUCUGGAAUUUGUGAGAAGAGAGCAUAGGGGUUGGGCACCACUCGAUGUAACGGGACCACUGCCUCAUUUACUAGGCAAAGAUCUUGUACUAGGUAGGCACCAAUCCCCAUUAGGUUUUUGCACUCCCAAUAUUAGGGGUGUUACAAAGACGAUUGCAUUUGAUUAAUAGUCCCUGUUCUUUUAGGUUUCUUGUAAUUGGGAUAAUAAGUCCCUGUCAUGUCUCAGGUCUCAGAGGAUACUGCUCUUGGCAAGGACAUAAAUUUUGAUCUUUAAGAGUUAUCUCCACCGGUUGAGCAUUUUUUGCUCAUCCUAUCUUUCCUCCUAUGGCCCAGACUUCUGGGUCAAUAUCUACUUCCAUCAAAGGCAGGCAUAAGCCUUGAUUAGGCUCCAUUGUCAUGUGAAUUGAGGCAUUAACCUUUGACAAAAUAUCUCUUCCUAAAAGGGGAGUUGGACUCUCUGGAACAAUCAGAAAAGCAUGAGAGAAGAAAACAGAUUCCCAGUCACAACUCAAAGGCUGUGUAAAGAAUUUUGUAACCAGCUUGCCAGAAAUACCACUAAUAGUGGCAGCUUUAUUUGCGGGGGGCCCAGGGUUGGAGAGGAGGAUUGAAAAGAUGGCUCCCAUAUCCAGGAGGAAGUUGACAGGUUGUCCUCCUACAUUUAGAGUCACCGGGGCUCCUGAGUGGUGAUAAAGAGGAGCCAAUAUGGGAAGCCCUUGGUCCCAUCAAUCUUGAUCCUGGACCUGAAGGGUCAACCCUGGGGACCUUCAUCUUUGGAGGCAGUCUCUCUUCCAGUGAUCUCCCCGAUAUAUGGGAAACGAUCUAGGUGCCGUGGCCUGAGCCUUGGGGCAUUCCCAUUUAAAGUGUCCCUCUUUUCCGCAGAGUAAAUAGGCUCUGGGCUUAGGUCUCUGUCCUAGUCCUCUUGCUUUGGAAGCUCCCCGGUUGACUCUCUGUAGUGCCAUAACUAGAGCCUCAGCCUUUUCUCUGUCUCUCCUCUUGUUCUCUUUUCAUUUUUCCUGGUCCCAAUUAUAAUAUAAUUGAGUUGUUACUCUAAGGAGGUGCUCCAGGUCCUGAUCAGGGCCAAAAGCCAAUUUUUGGAGUUUUCUCUGUAUAUCUGGUGCCAAUUGAGUUAUAAAUUUGUCUUUUAGAAUUAUUUGGCCCUCCAUUGAUUCUGGGUCCAUUGGUGUAUGCUUUCUCUAUGCAUCUCUGAGUCUUUCUAAGAAAGCCAAUGGACUUUCUCUUUUUUCUCUUGACAAACCUCCGAUGAUUUGGAGUCGUUAAUGGGCUUUACUCAUGUGGCUUUUAGUCCCUCAGUUAUAUAAGUAAUAAAAUGAUUUCUAUGCCAAUUAUCUUUAUCCCCCUCAUUAGCAGACCAGUUAGGAUCACUUGUAGGAACUGCCUGACACCCUGUAAGGAAUCUUGUUUGUUCCUCUUCUGAUCUGCCUCUGGCAUUUAUAGCAAACCACUCACCUCCCCAGCCUUGAGCAUUUUCUAAGACUUUAUUUUUUUUCACUUAUAGUCAAUGUCUGGUUUAGUAAUAACAUGACAGGCUAACUCAAAGGACUGCAUGAGACCCUGAAAGACCUUGAUAUAUCUAUCUAGGUUGUCAGCAAAUUUUCCCAAGUCUGUUUUUAUCUGCCUUAAGUCCUGAAGUGAAAAAGGCACAAGUACCCAUAUUGGUCCCCAUUCUCCAUUUGCUACCUCUUGCAAAGGGAGUAAAGAGGGAUAUAACUUUGGCACUGGAGGGGGGAGAAAAGGAGACUUGGGCAGUUUUGGAGAAGGCUGAUUAACUUCAACAGGGUCUGGCCCAGUUGGGCCAGGAUAUGGUGGGCACCUAUGUCCUGAGGGAGUUGGUGUAACACACUGGGGAAGUCCACAAGUCUUCCUCAGGGUAGCGUCUUCCCUCAUUGUAAAGAAGACCUGAACAUAAGGUACCUCUGACCAUUUUCCUUCUCAUCUACAAAAUAGGUCUGAUUGGAGACUAGUAGUAUAAUCUAGAGAGCCUUCAGAUGGCCAUCGCUCCCCAUCCAACAGUUUAUACAGUGGCCAGGCUUUCAUGUAAAAGAAAACUAAAUGUUUCUCUCUCAGAGUCUGAGUGUCAAACUUUUCCCAGUUUUUCAAGGCACAUGUCAGAGGAGUUGCUAUUGAGCCAUGUACCAGGCUCGAGGAUGUGGUUCCCAUCUGAAAAAGAGAAAAGGCCAGCAUCCAGCACCUAUUGUCCUUUCUCGGUUAUGUGAGGGCAUUCCCUCUCUUGUCCAGAGAAUGUCCCAUCCAACAUUAGGCUGACUGGAAUUAACCACUCCUUACCAGCAUAGCCUCUUCUCCUGUUAUCCCUGCCCAUUGCCUGUCUCUGGACAGAGGUGAAGAAAACCCAGGUAUACAGACCCUGUGCUGAAUUUUUGAAUCCUAAGAUGCUUGCUCUGACAUGCCUUCUAUUAAUGUUAGGAAAGUUCCUAAGCCACAGUUAAUGGGUAAAUUGGAUGAACCAUCUGUCAGUUUCUCCAGGGAUGAAAGUGAAUAACAAAAAGCAAAACUGACCAUGCCCGGGCUCUGAGACUAAACACCUGGCCUAAGUUGGGUGUACACUAGUUAUGAACUCCUUCUCCCUCACAGACAUGGUAACAACUCAGGGUGGUCUUACCAUCUAGAGGUCUGUUUCCUUUGCUCCUGCAGCUCCAUUUGAGGUAAUAGGAAAGGAAAAAGGAUCCCAUUAGUCAAGCCCUUUAAAGGACUCCUAAGGAGAUGGGGCAUCACUUGAUGAGAAGAAUAUAACAAUGACUGAGCCCAGCAUAGGGAAGAAGGCUGAAGUCAUAUACGAGGUGGUAUCAAUUGGCCUAAAGCCCAAGGGGUGCUGAACUGGCUAAAAAUAGUGAGGGGUGGAAGACCAGAAGCACGAUAUAAUGGGAUGGACUUAUAAUUCAAGGGGA